rnacentral:lncRNA from 1 species
UCGUUAUAUGGCUUUGUGGUAUGUUACUUGAUGCUUAUCAUAUCACAAGUCAUCGCUUCGAGUAGAGCUAGUAGCUUAAGCAACAACAAACAGAAACAGAAGCAAUGCGAUUAAUUGCUCGUCAAUUGGAGGUAUUACAAAAUACCUUUCUUUUGUUACAAAUGCUUAUUUAUUUUCUAUUCCGACAAAAAUAUACCUACGUAGAUAUACUUUGCCCUCUUCAAAAAAAAAAAAAAAAAAAAGGAUAGAUAUACUUUGCCCGUGGAGGCCUGUAAUACUCUUUUUAAAACUUAUUUUCUCCUCUGUUAGGCGGCG